GAUGAACGCUGGCGGCGUGCCUAACACAUGCAAGUCGAGCGAGAAAUAAAGGAAUGAAGCUUCGGUAGAUUUUCUUUAUGGAAAGCGGCGGACGGGUGAGUAACGCGUAGGCAACCUGCCCUGUACAGGGGGAUAGCCACCCGAAAAGGUGAUUAAUACCCCAUAACGCAAGAGAUACACAUGUAUCACUUGUCAAAGAUUUAUCGGUAUAGGAUGGGCCUGCGUCUGAUUAGCUAGUUGGUAGGGUAACGGCUUACCAAGGCAACGAUCAGUAGCCGACCUGGGAGGGUGAUCGGCCACAUUGGAACUGAGACACGGUCCAAACUCCUACGGGAGGCAGCAGUGGGGAAUAUUGCACAAUGGGCGCAAGCCUGAUGCAGCAACGCCGCGUGAAGGAUGAAGGCCUUCGGGUUGUAAACUUCUGUCCUAGGGGAAGAAACAAAUGACAUUACCCUG
rnacentral:rRNA from 1 species